rnacentral:rRNA from 1 species
UGGGGAAUAUUGGACAAUGGGCGAAAGCCUGAUCCAGCCAUGCCGCGUGUGUGAAGAAGGCCUUUUGGUUGUAAAGCACUUUAAGCGAGGAGGAGGCUACUUAGAUUAAUACUCUAGGAUAGUGGACGUUACUCGCAGAAUAAGCACCGGCUAACUCUGUGCCAGCAGCCGCGGUAUUACAGAGGGUGCGAGCGUUAAUCGGAUUUACUGGGCGUAAAGCGUGCGUAGGCGGCUUUUUAAGUCGGAUGUGAAAUCCCUGAGCUUAACUUAGGAAUUGCAUUCGAUACUGGGAAGCUAGAGUAUGGGAGAGGAUGGUAGAAUUCCAGGUGUAGCGGUGAAAUGCGUAGAGAUCUGGAGGAAUACCGAUGGCGAAGGCAGCCAUCUGGCCUAAUACUGACGCUGAGGUACGAAAGCAUGGGGAGCAAACAGG